AGAAUCAACGCUGGCGGCGUGCCUAACACAUGCAAGUCGAACGAGGAAAGUGGAGCAAUCCAUGAGUAAAGUGGCGCACGGGUGGGUAACACGUGACUAACCUACCCUUGAGUGGGGGAUAACCUAGAGAAAUCUGGGCUAAUACCGCAUAAUACCUUCGGGUCAAAGGAGCAAUUCGCUUAAGGAGGGGGUCGCGGCCGAUUAGUUAGUUGGCGGGGUAAUGGCCCACCAAGACUGUGAUCGGUA
rnacentral:rRNA from 1 species